rnacentral:rRNA from 1 species
GAUGGCGGUGUUACCACCCUGUAGCCUGAUCCUGGUGGGUCUCAGAAGUGAAACGAGGCUCGAUCUGGUCCGUACUGGGGUGGGAGACCUCUAAGGAAAACCAGGUUGCUGCUGCAA